rnacentral:rRNA from 1 species
UACGAAGGGGGCUAGCGUUGUUCGGAAUCACUGGGCGUAAAGCGCACGUAGGCGGAUUUGCCAGUCAGGGGUGAAAUCCCGGGGCUCAACCUCGGAACUGCCUUUGAUACAGCAAGUCUAGAGUCCGGAAGAGGUGAGUGGAAUUCCUAGUGUAGAGGUGAAAUUCGUAGAUAUUAGGAAGAACACCAGUGGCGAAGGCGGCUCACUGGUCCGGCACUGACGCUGAGGUGCGAAAGCGUGGGGAGCAAACAGGAUUAGAAACCCCCGUAGUCC